UGUCGUUGCUCGUAUAAAGGGUGAGCGGGUCUAUUGUCUUCCUGGUAGAUUUAUAGGAAACAAAGAAAGAAAGAAAGAUUGUCUUCCUGGUGUACUCGUGAAAAUUACAUCGUGGCAGAAUGAUGAUAACUUUCAUUACAGUGGCAAAUGACAUGUUAAAGUACGUCUAUAGAAGAUUUUUUGAGAAGCACAUAGGAGAGUUAGUAGAUUUGCAAAUUAAAACAAAUCCGAUCGAAAUGUUCCUCAAUAGCGAUUUGGACGAGUAUCUGGGAACUCAGAUGAUGAAGAUGUUCUUCUGGGACGAUGACAAUGAUCAACCCGAAUAUUAUAAUAAUUGAUAAUAUGCCACUGAAUUAAUUCCGAAAUGUAGUGUCUUCUACAAUAAAUGUUAUAGAAAUGAAAAAAAAA